rnacentral:SRP_RNA from 1 species
GCCGGGCGUGGUGGUGCAUGCCUGUAAUCCCAGCUACUCAGGAGGCUGAGGCAGGAGAAUCACUUGAACCCGGGAGGUGGAGGUUGCAGUGAGCCGAGAUCAUGCCACUGCACUCCAGCCUGAGUGACAGAGCGAGACUCUGUCUCAA